CCUACGGGUGGCAGCAGUGGGGAAUAUUGGACAAUGGGGGGAACCCUGAUCCAGCCAUGCCGCGUGUUUGAAGAAGGCCCUCGGGUUGUAAAGCACUUUCAGUGAGGAAGAACGCCUGGUGGUUAAUACCCAUCAGGAAAGACAUCACUCACAGAAGAAGCACCGGCUAACUCCGUGCCAGCAGCCGCGGUAAUACGGAGGGUGCGAGCGUUAAUCGGAAUUACUGGGCGUAAAGCGCGCGUAGGUGGCUUGAUAAGCCGGUUGUGAAAGCCCCGGGCUCAACCUGGGAACGGCAUCCGGAACUGUCAAGCUAGAGUGCAGGAGAGGAAGGUAGAAUUCCCGGUGUAGCGGUGAAAUGCGUAGAGAUCGGGAGGAAUACCAGUGGCGAAGGCGGCCUUCUGGACUGACACUGACACUGAGGUGCGAAAGCGUGGGUAGCAAACAGGAUUAGAUACCCCGGUAGUC
rnacentral:rRNA from 1 species